GACGAACGCUGGCGGCGUGCCUAAUACAUGCAAGUUGAGCGCUGAAGGUUGGUCCUUGUACCAACUGGAUGAGCAGCGAACGGGUGAGUAACGCGUGGGGAAUCUGCCUUUGAGCGGGGGACAACAUUUGGAAACGAAUGCUAAUACCGCAUAAAAACUUUAAACACAAGUUUUAAGUUUGAAAGAUGCAAUUGCAUCACUCAAAGAUGAUCCCGCGUUGUAUUAGCUAGUUGGUGAGGUAAAGGCUCACCAAGGCGAUGAUACAUAGCCGACCUGAGAGGGUGAUCGGCCACAUUGGGACUGAGACACGGCACAAACUCCUACGGGAGGCAGCAGUAGGGAAUCGUCGGCAAUGGACGAAAGUCUGACCGAGCAACGCCGCGGGAGUGAAGAAGGUUGUCGGAUCGUAAAACUCUGUUGGUAGAGAAGAACGUUGGUGAGAGUGGAAAGCUCAUCAAGUGACGGUAACUACUAAGAAAGGGACGGCUAACUACGUG
rnacentral:rRNA from 1 species